AGAUGCUAUGUAAGAUGAGUUGCAUGAGAUUUUAGAGUUUUAGGAAUAUUUGAGGUGGGGAUACUGAUGCUUUUAAUCAUGAUAUGAAAGUUAUUCCAAGUCUUGGCAGUUACGUUUGAAAAAUUGGUUAUCCCUUCUUUGAAUUUGAGUGAGGCAAGUUGAUUUGCCUAAUUUCCUUUAGCAUUGCUUGAUAGAGAUCAUAGGGGUCAGGUAGUAGAACUCCCUGGCAUAUAAUCUUCCCUUUAUUGCUUUAGUUUGUGGAAAUGUUUAUCAUGUAUAAUAUACAACUCUACUCAACUAAACUAAGCUUUUAUUCCAAAAAUU
rnacentral:misc_RNA from 1 species